UAAUGAAGGAAGCAUGGUAAUGUACACGGAUAUUGAAUUAAUGGGUCAUCAUGUCUGCUCCCUCUGAUGCCACCUUGGCCUUUGAUUUGGGGGCCUGGUUCCGACCCACAUUA